CAACCAAUUCCACUAUCCAAGUCACUGAUGUAUAUUAAAAACAUCAAUGGCCCUUAUACUGAUCCCUGUGGCACCCCACUAAUUACUUAAUCCCACUCGGAUUUAGAGCUGUUUAUUACGACUCUGUCGCCUGUCACUUAGCCACAACCUUAUCCACCCUAACACCUUCCCAUCUAUUCCGUGUGCCCUAACGUUUCUCAGGAGCCUCUGAUGGGGUACCUUGUCAAACACUUCACAGAAGUCCAGAUAUAGGAUGUCAUAACUAUCACCAUUAUCUCCUGCCCUGUAAACUUUACAGUAAAAUCUUGACAAGUUUGUCAGGUGGUGAGCUACAGCUACCUGGCUGCACCUCAAGGCCAUAGCCACUUCAAAGAUGUGGUGUAUGGGUCUGGUGCAGCAGCCAAGCCUCCUUCCUCUGACCACAGCUUCUCUGCCAGAUCUCCAACUCUUGGCCAGACACUUUCACUGGAAACUCAGAAAUCUGGUCAUACAGCAGCUCCUGGCCAUGCCUCAGACCAUACUCACCUCAGCACUACACCACCUGUUAUUACUGCCUUUGAGUCCUCAAAAUUAUCUCACAUUUCCCCUUCCUCAUUAGUCCAUUCCUCAUCAUUCUCUGCACCAUCACCUUUUUUCUCCUCAUCCUUCUCACCUUCUGCUCACUCAUCAUCUCUCCCACAACCAUCACUCCCUCCUGCCUCUCCAUUUACUCAUCCUGAAGCCAUAUUUGCCAUGCACCAAACUUCUGCCACAGUUCACCCUGCUGAUUCCAGCCAAUUUAUCAUCAAGGACUCCACUUUCCAGGAGGCUCUGGAAUGUAACACCCACAGAUGGCAGGGAAACACUGCAUAUCUUCCCUCCCACAAAAGCGAUGCACUUAAUGAAUUGGGCCAAGAUAAUUAGUGAAAGCUUUCUGUGUUAAAGAGAUGCAGCUAGUGAGCCAAUAUAUAUACUGAUCGUUCAAUUAAUCCUUUAUGUCAUAAAACUUCUCUGAAAAAAUCUAGUGAAUAAUUCUUCCUCUAUCACUGCACUGUUCUUAAUCUAAAUUACAUAUUAAAACUACACAUGAUAGUGUAAUGAUCAGUAUGCUUGGCUCACAAACCACAUAUAUAUAUAUGCUUGGCUUUGUCUCCAAACUCUCCCCCAUAGAGAGAUUGUAUUAACCUGCAGAAAUAAAGCUAUCAUUCAGGGAAACUGGUUUGUUUGCCAAACAAACAUUACAUUGCUGAAUAUUCUGUGGCACCAAAUGCUUUGUCAGGAAUUGUGGCAAUGAUAUUUCAAUCCUUGUCUUUGCAUCCUACAAUUUGUAUGCUGAACAUAAACCUUAUCAACAAGU